AGUAACAUUAAUCACCCACUCUACUACUCGAAGUUACUACCAGCAGCUUGCUUCAACAGUAGAAGAGAGCGAGAGGAUGGCGUCACCGAAGCCCUCGUCGGCGGCCCUGCUCCUCCUGGCGGCGGCGGCCGUGCUGGCGCUGGCGCGCGCGGACCUGACGCACGACAACUGCGUGAAGAACAAGAAGGUGACGGUGCAGAACCUGUGCAGCCACGACGUGACGCUGACGCUGGAGCCGCUGGCCAACAGCCCGCCGCUGUUCGCGGGCACCUACACGCUGCACCCGCGCAGCCACGCCGAGUUCCCCGUGUGCUGGUGGACGGGGCGCCUGCGCGCGCCCGACGCCGCCCAGGUGGAGUUCCACGUCGGCGUCGACGGCGGCUCCUUCUACCUGGCCCCCAACGCGCAGCCGGGCCAGCGCGUCCCGGUCUCCGUCACCCCGCACGGCUCGCCGCUGCAGGGCCGCUGCCCCGCCGUCGGCUGCGCCAUCCAGGGCCGCUGCUCCGUGCACCAGGUGCCCAGCGGCGACUGCCGCAACGUCCAGGAGAUGAAGAUCAUCUACUGCAACCCGCACGUGUGAUGCGAUGCGGACAUGGGGUCGUCGCGCCAUCUCGCGACCUGUGUUGUGCUUUCUUUCAUGUCGCCGUCGCCGUCGUGUGUCCAACCGCCAUUGUCGUUAGGUUGUUGUUGAUUAGCCGUUUGCUUCGCUCAGUAGCCUCGCUCUCCAGUGUAUUAUCACUCGCAUCGCAUGCAUGUGAUGUGAGCCACUGCACGCGUGAGUGUCACAUGAGUCGUCGUCCUGUCUCGUCUCAUGUGUUUGAAAUUGUAGGCAGCAGAGGAUCGAGAUGCGUGUCUGCUUUGUUCGUGUUCACUGCUGUCAGUCUGUCACCGAGUUCAAUAAUUUAGCUUUGUUUCAUCGGGAAAUUGAAUGGAUGUCUGUUGUUGUUUAAUCUAUUUUUAAUUUUUGAAUAAUAAUAAUAAUAAUAUAGUUUAUUUUAAA
rnacentral:misc_RNA from 1 species